GUCUACGGCCGUACCACCCUGAACACGCCCGAUCUCGUCUGACCUUGGACGCUAAGCAGGGUCGGGCCUGGUUAGUACUUGGAUGGGAGAUAAGCGAUCUAGCCA
rnacentral:rRNA from 1 species